rnacentral:lncRNA from 1 species
ACCUCACGGGUGACUCAGUCCUUCAACAACUGCUUACAGGGAAAACACCAAUGAAGGAACUUUAAACGGCCUAGGUAAAUGGGUUAACAGCAAAGGAAAUAUUACAAAAUAUAUUUCGCUGAAGGCAAACAGGAUCAUUAGAAAGGGCAAACAACCAGCCACCGAGAAAUGAAACUGUCAAAAAACCCAACAUACUCAAUCCAGAGGAGCCAACUUUCAGAUCAGUUUUCUGUUGACUUAAAGGUGCUACUGCAAAAACCUAGACCAGCACCCAAUACCCACUUUGCUGCCAGACUUUUGAAGUCUGGGAAUUGGCAGCUGAAGGAAACGUAAGCCUCUUCUCCUGGUUUAACACCAGAGGGAAAACAUGAGGGAGAUAAGGAGGCUGUCUAUUAAUUAACCAGCCCUGUUUUACCACGCUGAACUUUGGGUAGCAGCCAUUAAUCAGUCCUACAUAGCGCCGGGCAAGGAACUGCAAUCACCCUGGAAAAUACAUCUGAAACGAGAAGGAAAGAUAGAGAGGGCAAACCAGGGCUGUGCAGAGGGGAUUCUGGAAAGGAAACCAGAGCCCUUCUGCCCCACCCUAAACAAGAUGAAGGACGAGAAGGCUCUGACACCGACAGAAGCCUCCUCUUCAGAGACACAAUCUGCUUCCCUGUGUCCCAACAACAAACUGCCAGAAAAGCAACGUUAGAGCAACACUUCUCCCAGAGAGGACAGAAGAUAAGUGACAAUAAAUAAAGGGGAUUUCUUAAAAUUAAGGCAGCAAGACACUGGUGCCAUUUCGAUGACGUUUCCUCCAACACACUGAAGUACACAAAUUAGUUUCCAAUUUUUUUUUUUAAUUAAAAAGGGU